UAGAUACCCUGGUAGUCCCAGCCGUAAACGAUGGGCACUAGGUGUGGGGGGCAUUUGCCUUCCGUGCCGCAGCUAACGCAUUAAGUGCCCCGCCUGGGGAGUACGGCCGCAAGGCUAAAACUCAAAGGAAUUGACGGGGGCCCGCACAAGCAGCGGAGCAUGUGGCUUAAUUCGAAGCAACGCGAAGAACCUUACCAGGCUUGACAUGUAGGUGAAGUGACAGAGAUGUCGCAGCCGAAAGGAGCCUACA
rnacentral:rRNA from 1 species